rnacentral:rRNA from 1 species
AAUGAACGUUGGCAGCGUGGAUUAGGCAUGCAAGUCGAGCGACAAGUCUUCCUUCGGGGAGAUGGAGGAGCGGCUAACGGGGUAGUAAGGCAUCGGAACGUACCUUUUCGUCUGGGAUAGCCAUGGGAAACUGUGAGUAAUACCGGAUAAUAUCUUCGGAUCAAAGGUUUACUGCGAUUAGAGCGGCCGAUGUGAGACUAGGUAGUUGGUAGGGUAAUGGCCUACCAAGCCAGAGAUCUCUAGGGGGUGUGAGAGCAUGACCCCCACCACUGGAACUGAGACACUGUCCAGACACCUACGGGUGGCUGCAGUCGAGAAUCUUCGGCAAUGGGCGAAAGCCUGACCGAGCGACGCUGCGUGCGGGAUGAAGGCCCUUGGGUUGUAAACCGCUGUCAGAGGGGAUCAAAGGAAACUUGAGAGAGCCUCAGAGGAAGCGCGGGCUAAGUUCGUGCCAGCAGCCGCGGUAAUACGAACUGCGCAAACGUUAUUCGGAAUCACUGGGCUUACAGGGUGCGUAGGCGGUUCGCCAGGUCAGAUGUGAAAUCCCACAGCUCAACUGUGGAACUGCAUUUGAAACCUGCGAACUUGAGUAGACUAGAGGUACACGGAACUUCAGGUGGAGCGGUGAAAUGUGUUGAGAUCUGAAGGAACACCAGAGGCGAAAGCGGUGUACUGGAGUCUGUCUGACGCUGAGGCACGAAAGCUAGGGGAGCGAACGGGAUUAGAUACCCCGGUAGUCCUAGCCGUAAACGAUCUGUACUAGACGGUGGGAGGCUUGCCUUUCACGGUCGCAGCGAAAGCAUUAAGUACAGCGCCUGGGGAGUAU